rnacentral:rRNA from 1 species
GACGAACGCUGGCGGCGUGCUUAACACAUGCAAGUCGAGCGGUAAGGCCCUUUCGGGGGUACACGAGCAGCGAACGGGUGAGUAACACGUGGGUGACCUGCCCUCAGCUCUGGGAUAAGCCUGGGAAACCGGGUCUAAUACUGGAUAUGACUCCAUGACGCAUGUUGUGGGGUGGAAAGCCUUGUGCGGCUGAGGAUGGGCCCGCGGCCUAUCAGCUUGUUGGUGGGGGAUGGCCUACCAAGGCGACGACGGGUAGCCGGCCUGAGAGGGCGACCGGCCACACUGGGACUGAGACACGGCCCAGACUCCUACGGGAGGCAGCAGUGGGGAAUCUUGCGCAAUGGGCAAAAGCCUGACGCAGCGACGCCGCGUGAGGGAUGACGGCCUGGU